UCGGGAAUAUUGCGCAAUGGAGGAAACUCUGACGCAGUGACGCCGCGUAUAGGAAGAAGGUUUUCGGAUUGUAAACUAUUGUCGUGAGGGAAGAAAUUGACAGUACCUCAGGAGGAAGCUCCGGCUAACUAUGUGCCAGCAGCCGCGGUAAUACAUAGGGAGCAAGCGUUAUCCGGAUUUAUUGGGUGUAAAGGGUGCGUAGACGGGAAAUUAAGUUAGUUGUGAAAUCCCUCGGCUUAACUGAGGAACUGCAACUAAAACUGGUUUUCUUGAGUACUGGAGAGGUAAGUGGAAUUCCUAGUGUAGCGGUGAAAUGCGUAGAUAUUAGGAGGAACACCAGUGGCGAAGGCGACUUUCUGGACAGUAACUGACGUUGAGGCACGAAAGUGUGGGGAGCAAACAGGAUUAGAUACCC
rnacentral:rRNA from 1 species